rnacentral:rRNA from 1 species
AGGACGAACGCUGGCGGCGUGCUUAACACAUGCAAGUCGAGCGGAAAGGCCCUUCGGGGUACUCGAGCGGCGAACGGGUGAGUAACACGUGAGUAAUCUGCCCCUAGCUCUGGGAUAGCUCCGGGAAACCGGGAUUAAUACCGGAUACGACCACCUUAGACAUCUUUUGUGGUGGAAAGAAUUUCGGCUAGGGAUGAGCUCGCGGCCUAUCAGCUUGUUGGUGGGGUAAUGGCCUACCAAGGCGACGACGGGUAGCCGGCCUGAGAGGGCGACCGGCCACACUGGGACUGAGACACGGCCCAGACUCCUACGGGAGGCAGCAGUGGGGAAUAUUGCGCAAUGGGCGAAAGCCUGACGCAGCGACGCCGCGUGGGGGAUGAAGGCCUUCGGGUUGUAAACCCCUUUCAGCAGGGACGAAGCGAAGUGACGGUACCUGCAGAAGAAGCGCCGGCUAACUACGCGCCAGCAGCCGC